rnacentral:rRNA from 1 species
GACGAACGCUGGCGGUGUGCUUAACACAUGCAAGUCGAACGGUAAGGCCCUUUCGGGGGUACACGAGUGGCGAACGGGUGAGUAACACGUGAGUAACCUGCCCUCAUCUCUGGGAUAACAGUCGGAAACGGCUGCUAAUACUGGAUAUGAGCUUGCAAGGCAUCUUGUGGGUUGGAAAGAUUUUUUUGGUUGGGGAUGGACUCGCGGCCUAUCAGCUUGUUGGUGAGGUAGUGGCUCACCAAGGCUUCGACGGGUAGCCGGCCUGAGAGGGCGACCGGCCACAUUGGGACUGAGAUACGGCCCAAACUCCUACGGGAGGCAGCAGUGGGGAAUAUUGCACAAUGGACGGAAGUCUGAUGCAGCAACGCCGCGUGCGGGAUGACGGCCUUCGGGUGUAAACCGCUUUCAAUUGUGACGAAGCUUUUUGUGACGGUAGCAGUAGAAGAAGCACCGGCUAACUACGUG